ensembl:snRNA
GUAUUGUAUCACAGGCUAGGUUAGCACUUCCCUUAAAAAAGAAAGGAUGAAAGCAGUUCUAGUGACCUGUAAACAUACAUGGUUAAGGAAUUACCAACAACUUUGCAGCAUCUAACUCUAAUUUUUA